rnacentral:rRNA from 1 species
UACAGAGGGGGCAAGCGUUGUUCGGAAUUACUGGGCGUAAAGGGCGCGUAGGCGGCCUGCUAAGUCGAACGUGAAAUCCCUGGGCUCAACCCAGGAACUGCGUCCGAUACUGGUUGGCUUGAAUCCGGGAGAGGGGCGUGGAAUUCCAGGUGUAGCGGUGAAAUGCGUAGAUAUCUGGAGGAACACCGGUGGCGAAGGCGACGUCCUGGACCGGCAUUGACGCUGAGGUGCGAAAGCGUGGGGAGCAAACGGG